rnacentral:rRNA from 1 species
UACGAAGGGGGCUAGCGUUGCUCGGAAUCACUGGGCGUAAAGGGUGCGUAGGCGGGUCUUUAAGUCAGGGGUGAAAUCCUGGAGCUCAACUCCAGAACUGCCUUUGAUACUGAAGAUCUUGAGUUCGGGAGAGGUGAGUGGAGCUGCGAGUGUAGAGGUGAAAUUCGUAGAUAUUCGCAAGAACACCAGUGGCGAAGGCGGCUCACUGGCCCGAUACUGACGCUGAGGCACGAAAGCGUGGGGAGCAAACAGG